rnacentral:tRNA from 1 species
GUCUUCGUGGUGAAUAUAAUCACGUUAUCUUUUCGAGAUAAAAGAGGCGUAAGCCCUUAGAUU